rnacentral:lncRNA from 1 species
CUCAGCAGCAACAGGACAGGAGCAGCGGCUGGGAGACAGAGUGGAAGCUCUGAUACAUGGGAAGAUCUGACUACAGCGCAACCUGCCCAGACACAGCUGCCAUGAAUGCCCCUACCUGGAAGCUUCCUGAGUGGGAGAAGGAGACCUUUAGCUCACAGAGGUACAACUCCAACACACAGGAGCUUCCGCUCAGGGAGCUUUUGACCAAGGAGACUAACAACAGGCUCAGAACAGAGCCUUCCAAUUUCUCCACUGAAGCCGUAACUACAGUCCCUUUUGUUUUAAAAAUUAAACGAGAUAAAAGGCUUAAUAAACACUAAUAUUAGAUAAGAUUCUUAUUUUUUUUUUCUUUGUUUUUGUUGUUUGAGACAGGAUCUCACUAGUUCAGGCUGGCUUUGAACUCACUAUGUAGCCCAGCCUGAUGUCGAACUCACAGCAAUCCUCCUGCCUCAGCAUCCUGCGUGCUGGGAUCAUAAGUAUAUACCACCACACCCAGCUAGAUAAACUUUUAUUGCAAAUAAAUAAUGUUACUCUACCAGCUCUUUAACUUUAUAUUUGUGUGUGUGUGUUUCUUGGAAAUAGAGUCUCACUAUGUAGCCUAGGCUGGCCUUGAACUUACUAUGUCCUGACUUUAGCCUCCCAA